UGGGGAAUAUUGGACAAUGGGCGCAAGCCUGAUCCAGCCAUGCCGCGUGAGUGAUGAAGGCCCUAGGGUUGUAAAGCUCUUUCACCGGUGAAGAUAAUGACGGUAACCGGAGAAGAAGCCCCGGCUAACUUCGUGCCAGCAGCCGCGGUAAUACGAAGGGGGCUAGCGUUGUUCGGAUUUACUGGGCGUAAAGCGCACGUAGGCGGACUUUUAAGUCAGGGGUGAAAUCCCGGGGCUCAACCCCGGAACUGCCUUUGAUACUGGAAGUCUUGAGUAUGGUAGAGGUGAGUGGAAUUCCGAGUGUAGAGGGGAAAUUCGUAGAUAUUCGGAGGAACACCAGUGGCGAAGGCGGCUCACUGGACCAUUACUGACGCUGAGGGGCGAAAGCGUGGGGAGCAAACAGG
rnacentral:rRNA from 1 species